rnacentral:rRNA from 1 species
GACGAACGCUGGCGGCGUGCCUAAUACAUGCAAGUCGAGCGGACGAUUCGAAAGCUUGCUUUUGAAUCGUUAGCGGCGGACGGGUGAGUAACACGUGGGCAACCUGCCCUGUAGACGGGGAUAACACCGAGAAAUCGGUGCUAAUACCGGAUAACACGAAAUGUCGCAUGACGUUUCGUUGAAAGGCGGCGCAAGCUGCCGCUACAGGAUGGGCCCGCGGCGCAUUAGCUAGUUGGUGAGGUAACGGCUCACCAAGGCGACGAUGCGUAGCCGACCUGAGAGGGUGAUCGGCCACACUGGGACUGAGACACGGCCCAGACUCCUACGGGAGGCGGCAGUAGGGAAUCUUCCGCAAUGGACGAAAGUCUGACGGAGCAACGCCGCGUGAGCGAAGAAGGCCUUCGGGUCGUAAAGCUCUGUUGUUAGGGAAGAACAAGUAACGUAGUAACUGACGUUACUAUGACGGUACCUAACGAGAAAGCCACGGCUAACUACGUG